rnacentral:rRNA from 1 species
GACGAACUGUCCUAACGUUGUUCGGAAUCACUGGGCUUAAAGGGCGCGUAGGCGGUCGACCAAGUCAGGGGUGAAAUCCUGCAGCUUAACUGUAGAAGUGCCUUUGAUACUGGUCGUCUGGAGGGAGAUAGGGGUGUGUGGAACUUCCAGUGGAGCGAUGAAAUGCGUUGAUAUUGGAAGGAACGCCGGAGGCGAAAGCGACGCACUGGAUCUCUACUGACGCUGAGGCGCGAAAGCUAGGGGAGCAAACGGG